AUGCAAGCAACCUGGAGUUCUAGCGACGCAUUAUACAAGGAGCUAUGGCAUGCUUGGGCUAGGCCGUUGAUCACAGUGCCUCGCCAAGGUGAAAGGAUUUACAACUUUCCGCAUGUUUAUAUGGAACAGGUCCUUGAUCUGCUUCGUGGUAAGUUUCAUGGUGAAGGGCUUGUAAAGGAGGCAGAAGGCCUUGGAGGGGACAAUGCGGACGGGUUUGGUGAGGGCAAUGAAGGUAUCGUGCCCAGGGACCCUCUUGUCGUUAAUCAUCCAUGGCUCAACAUGGUUGACUUGAUUGUAAAUCUCGUCUAUGGCAUUCUUGUGGACCUUAAUCUUGUGAAACAUUUUGAUGUAAUCAGAUCUGAGGAUUUCAAGGCAUAG
rnacentral:rRNA from 1 species